ensembl:lncRNA
CUUCUGACGGCCAGCACAAGAAGAAUUUGCAUUACCUGCAUCACCCAGCUGGGGACCUGCUCAUUCUCUCAUUUGGAGCCCUAAGUCGCAGGACUUACAGUUCUAUAUUUUUCCUGUUAGUCUCACAGGUUUUUUCUUCCUUUUUUUCUUCCCACAUUGCUAAUGCAAUUGUUCAAAUUUUGAAGGUUGCUGGGCACAUUGGAUGGAUAUGUCCUCAGUCCCUGAGUAAGAGAUAACUUUUCUCCAGGUUUUUAGCAACAAUGCCAUAAAUUAUUACCCUGACAUAGAAUUUAAUUGCACAGUUAAAAACAUCAUUUACCAGGCUUUUAGCAUGCCCUGCUAAAUUCUCCACUUUUUCAUCUAAUCUCUGUAGGCCCUCGUUACAUUUGCAGAGACCUGUAUGGGUUUCAUUCCUGUUAAACAUGUCAGUAAAUCACAGCAGGAAAAAACCCUGACACAUUUCCCUAGGAAUUUUCUCUGCAGCCUGAGCUCCCAACCCUGCGGCUUCCCGUUCAAUAGGUCAGCCCAGACCCCAUUUGUCAUUGCUCUUUAAUUACUGUGGAACCUCUAAUCCAGGCCACAAAUUCCUCCCUGCUCAUACUUCUUUUUACUUCAGAAUGCGUAUCUAAUAGCAACCAAGGACUUUUCCUAUUUUCUCACUUGGAAUCUGUUUUGGGAGCUUGGAAUUGCUAUCUAACUGAAUCAGUAACAUCUGUGACUUCGGGGCAGCUUGAGUGGGAAUAGUUAGAGGGUUAGACAGAUUUCCUGCAUUUUAGGACUCCUUUCCUCUGAAGAGGCUGCUUUGGGACAAUUCAGUUCCAUCUAAUGGCGCUUCUUCCCUUUUUCUUCCCAUUUAUUUUUUGUUGUUUAACCCCAUCCCUGCUUCCUCUUUCUUCAUCUCCUCCAUCCCUCCAAGUUGUUUAGGUUUUUCAGAAGUAAAAAUUAUUUUAAAGAACCUCGCCAACAUUUUGAAAAGUUUCAGUUUCAAACACAUGAAAAGGAAAAGUCAGAAGGGAUUCCUAGAACUGUACUGCAGCUUGCAGGGAAAAGUUACUUUGACUUCAGCAGAGUGGAGAUCUUGCCAUCCAGAAUGGAGAUUUACUUCCUGCUGUGAGGAAGUCUGCUGAAUUUUAGUGAGUAAAUCAGAAAGCCAAGAGAGAUUCUGAUAUUGCUUAAGCACUAAUGUAGAAGUCCUAAGCUUUAUUCCUUCUCUAAACAUGGCAGCUUCUCUCUCCAUUUCUUGAUAGAUAAAUGCAGUUUUUCAGAGCUACUCAGUUUCGUGUGAAACGUGGUUUGGGUAGAAAGUAAGAAAAAGGCUCUAUUAUUAAAACUACUUGAAUAUUAAAAAUAACCCUUGGUUUAAAUUUUCUGUUCUUAAUUUUUACUCCUUUAAAGUAUUUCUCCUUGUAUGUCUCAAUGGGCCCAAAUUCCAAAGACUUACUUAAAGCAGGGCACCUAAUGACCUGUACAAUGCGUUUUCAGCCGUGAGAAAUGCUCAUGGCUGUGGGUAGGAACGGGUUAACACACUUCCAAACAGUAGCAAGCAGGUCACUGCCAUUUCUCUCUGCCUCAUCAUGUCACCACAGUAAUUCACACUCUGAAACCUUAAGGCUAUAGCUGCAAACGUGCUGCAAACAGAAGCUUCUGAGCUGUCUCUGAAAUGAGGCUGAUCCUGAAUGAGCGGAGUGAUCCUUGGUGCUCCUUGCCAUCCACAAGACACCUGUCUGGUUCUGUGUUUUGCUUAAAGUGUGGAUUCUGGUGUGCAUUAUCCCAAAGCUAAGAUAUCUGAUAAACCAGCAGUAGAUGUCUGGAUUCGUAAUUCCUGGCAGCCCUUCAAUGCAGAUCCUUGGAGAUAACAACAGAGAUGUUCCCAAAACAGGGCUCCUGGUCUUUCCAGUGGUUCAUGACUGUACUGGUGUUUGAACCAGGGCACCAACCCGGACAUUCUCCCUGCUGCCUCCUGCACAUUCACAACUUCUGCUUUUCCUAAGAAUGUUUAUUUUGCAAAUUAAUGGCAAAUGCUCAGGCUGAGGGAUUUGCUACCCUUUGUAAAUCAGGAGUUGAGCAUUUGCCUGGUAUUUCUCACACCAGACUUUUCCAAAAGCACUUUCAUGAAAAGCAUUUAAGCACCAAGACUUUUGCUUGAUAAGAUCAAAGUGUGAUACAGAAGUAGGAUGCAGGUGUUACAAUUACAUUUGGAAAAAUCAUACAUGAAAAAGGAGGCACUGAAGAAUUUCAGAGAACACUUUUCCUAAAGAGAUGUGACACCAGUCUCUGUUAACCAGUCUUGCCAUAUAGCUCAAAAAGAGAUUUGAACCACUUUGGCUUCUUGUGCAGGACACAUGAGUCUUGCAUAGAGAAAGAAACUGUCCUUGGAGUUUGGUCUUCCAAAAUAAUGGUCCACUAAACAAAAGCAAGGGAAGAACAGCUCUGCCAUCUGCUAGGUAAGUAUAAAAUUUACAAGGUUCCUUCAUUUUGGUUACUGCCAUAACUGAAUAAACAUUUUUGGUGCUGAGUGUAUAGUUUUGAA